rnacentral:tRNA from 1 species
UGCGGGAUGUUGUAACGGUAGCAUAUCAGGCUCAUUACCUGAAAGCAGGGGUUCGAUUCCCUUUCCCGCCA